rnacentral:rRNA from 1 species
UUACGCUGUUAUCCCUAAGGUAAUUGGUUUAAAAUUCUUAAAUUUUAGGAUUAGUUAUUCAUUAAUUAAUGUUUUAUUACUUAAAAGUUUAUUUGAUUUUAAAAUUACCCCAAUUAAAUAUAUAUACUAAUUUAAGAAAUUAAUUUAUUAUAGUUUAUUUAGAUUUAUAUAUAAAAUUCUAAAGGGUCUUCUCGUCUUUUAAAUAAAUUUAAGAAUUUUAACUUAAAUUUUAAUUUUAAUUGUUAUUUUAAUUUAUAUAGCUUAUAUUUCAUUAAAUCUAAAUUACUAGAUUUAAUUAUAAAAUCUAAUAAUUAUGCUACCUUUGUACAGUUAUUUAUACUGCAGCCUUUUAAACUUAUCAAUGGGCAGACUUGACUUAAUAUUAUAUGCAAUAAGACAUGUUUUUGUUAAACAGGCG